rnacentral:lncRNA from 1 species
CAAUAUCUUUCAACAGCCAUUGCACACGUACAGAAUUUGAAUGAAGUUCAUUCCUUGUUCUGAAAUUAUGAUUAAGCAAGGUUAGUAUUGUUUCCAAACAAAUUCAACUACUAUAUGAGCAAGUCAUGCAAAUGGAGUCUCAUUAUUUGCUUCACGUGUGUGGAUUCUUAUUGGAUAACCUCUUUUUCUUUUUCAUUGAUUCUCCUCACAUAAAAAUCACAUGGAUGAACAUCUUCUUUACUAAAUUUGUUUGGAUGUUGAAAUUAUUUUUUCCGUCUCUUUGUUGUUGUAAUUUAAUCUAGGUAUUUUUCUCCCCCCUUUUUUUUGCCAGUAUAUGAUUUGUGAAGAACAUAAUCAUAAAAGGUAUGAAAUUUGUAAAAUAUUAAAACCUAGUAUGUGAUGGUGUCGAAUGUUAAUUAUUUUUUAAUGCAUUCUUAAUUUUUUUUGUUGAAUCCAUUUUUUUUGUUUCAUAUUUUGAUUUAACUGUCUCUGGUCAUCUUCUAUCGAUUUCUUAGGUCUUCUCUAAAGUGAUGACUGCAUUUUUUUUUUUUUUGAUGUAAAGGGGAUGAUCAGUAACACUUGGAAAAAAAGAGGACGACAACAAAUAUAUAAAGGCAAUAGGAAGAGUUGGAUUUCAUUGAAAUCAUUCUUUAAGAAUCUCAUUUUCAUAGAUUGUCAUUCUCAUGUAUUCUUCGAGAAUGAUUUAGAUUAUAGGAUUGUUUGGAGAAAAUAUUUUUGUUAUUGGUUGCCCUGUACAUUCUCAAAUGAGAUAUACUUCAUUAUCACAUAAAUGUAUUUGUCAAUUUUUUUAUCUAUAAUAUAGAAGAC